rnacentral:rRNA from 1 species
AUGAAACACUCCUACGGGAGGCAGCAGUGGGGAAUAUUGGACAAUGGGCGAAAGCCUGAUCCAGCCAUGCCGCGUGUGUGAAGAAGGUCUUCGGAUUGUAAAGCACUUUAAGUUGGGAGGAAGGGCAUUAACCUAAUACGUUAGUGUUUUGACGUUACCGACAGAAUAAGCACCGGCUAACUCUGUGCCAGCAGCCGCGGUAAUACAGAGGGUGCAAGCGUUAAUCGGAAUUACUGGGCGUAAAGCGCGCGUAGGUGGUUUGUUAAGUUGGAUGUGAAAUCCCCGGGCUCAACCUGGGAACUGCAUUCAAAACUGACUGACUAGAGUAUGGUAGAGGGUGGUGGGAUUUCCUGUGUAGCGGUGAAAUGCGUAGAUAUAGGAAGGAACACCAGUGGCGAAGGCGACCACCUGGACUAAUACUGACACUGAGGUGCGAAAGCGUGGGGAGCAAACAGGAUUAGAAACCCUUGUAGUCCGAAGUUC